AUACCUUUCUCGGCCUUUUGGCUAAGAUCAAGUGUAGUAUCUGUUCUUAUCAGUUUAAUAUUUGAUACGUGGGCCAUUGGCUCAAAUGAUAUUAAAUUUAUUUUUUUAGGGGGAAUGACCACCAAGGUAGCUUGCUACUGG
rnacentral:snRNA from 1 species